ACUUGUUUCUGUAAAACGCCUACAGCGCAGGUCUGUUAUCCUGAUAACAGACACGAGUCUGUUAAUAUUUAAGAAAUACAGAAUUUCGUCCGUAAAUAUGACAUACGGGUGUUUAAAUUAAAGUGACGUCAUCGGUCUUCCUGGGCGCCAUUACUGCGAAGACCGUUAGUUAGCGGCAAAGAGGAAUCCCUCAACAUCGAGCACAAUAGUUGAACACUACAGUCAAUACCAAACAUUGCAGUUUUAGGCACAGCUUAUUGCAUCCUUGAGUGCCAUUCCUGUCAUCUAUAGAGUGGGCUACCCAGCCUUUCUCUGGGUGCAUUUUUGAAAUUAACCCAGAUAACGCACAGAAAUCAUGAAAAAGAGGAAGACUCGAGUGUGCCAAAAAGUGAUAUAACUAAUCACUAAACUGUCAAACUUUAAAUGGAUGAAGUACAGUUACAACAAUAGCAACAAUAUACCGGUACUGUGAGAAGGUAUACGACGGUAUAGAUGCCACAUUUUGGUUCAAGGUGCUUUAAAUUCUGGACCACGGUUUGGUUAACAUGGUACAGAUAUUUUAACUGUCCAUUUUCAUCCGAUGCAGAAUACUCCCCUGUAGUUCAUGUGACAAGAAGGAGAAAAGAUGGCUUUCUGGCAAUGAAACAUGUGUCCCGCUGAAAGUACAUUCCCCUCCGGCGAACCACAAAUCACGGAUAUAGGAACAUUUUGAAUCAAAAACGUCAGAUGGAAAAGCAGUGGCUAGGGAGCUGGAAACACGUCCAAGAAGAAAUACUGUGAUAUGUAUCGUUGCAACCUAUGAUGCAAUAAUGUUCAUGCAUGCAAACUUUAGGGAUAGGCCUAUUGAGUUUAUGGUUAGUUUUUAUACACCAGCACAUAGUGUGUAUAAAAUAGGUGAUAAGGGACCGAGCCACAACCCUUUUAUGAGUGAUACUUUGUAAAUGAGACUUUAAACGCACUGCAAGAAAUCUUUUUAAUGAAUCUUCUUAAUUAAACUUGUUCUUCUUAUUGUACUUUUGAUAAGAUGUCCGUUUACUUUAAUGGAAAAAUCUUUUGGUCAUUUAAUUUGUCCAUCAACAAUUUGGUACAUUUGUAAAAUUAUCCUCAGUUCAUUUUGUCUCUAAAUAUGCGGCCGUGUUGCAUAAACAUUAAAAUUGUGUAACUCUCAUCUACACAUUUCAUUUUGGGACUGGUUCAUUAACUUUGUCAGUAGUCGAGUUCCAUCUAAAUUUUUAUCUACGAGACUGAAUCAAUUUAUGCCAUUCUCACUAAGGAAUGUACAUGCUUAGGCAGAGUUAUUGUGCAAAAUUUAAUGAUAUACAUUUUCAAACAGAGAUUAAGCUAAUCAUUGAAACAAGCUGUACAUUUAAGGUGGAAUAAUAGGAAUUCUGCAUUGAUGCUGUUCUUGUUUUAAAGUCAUGAUACUUUUGGGGUUCAAUAAUUGUUAGAUUUUAAAUUGUUCAUUUAAACAUUUAGACUGCAAAUUCAUUAAUUCCAAAACUUUGAAUGAUUUCAUUAUUUCAUUAGAUCAUGUUUUACUGUUAUAAUUUACUUUCAUGUUGUUGAUGUUUUAAAUAAUAGAUUUGAGGUAAAUAUUACAACACCUUGGUUAAGAUUUUAGAAAAAGAUUUGAGGAUAAUUCUAUUGUAACACACUGAUUAUAUAUUUGUAGAAUAGAUUCAGAAUGUUGUUGUUCUACUAUAAAAAAAAUUCAUUUGAAUAUUAUAAUGUAAAUGUUACAUGUACAAGAAUUUGAAUGGAUAAUUUCAUUAUUGUUAAAUUUAUAUUUUGUUGCUACCCAUUAUUUGAUACAUCCAUGGAAAUUUUCACAAACAUUUUUUAAUUGCUGGGAAUUUUAAUUGCUUGUCUUGUGAGAACUUGAUAAAUAUUUUGGAGAGUUAUUUCCCUUGUUAAUAGGGCAACAAAUUCUCUUUUUUUUUUAAAGUCGUCACUAUUCCAUGUACAAAUGUUCAUUAUUAUUAAUGAAGAAUUAUGAAAGGAGCUUUGUUUUUGUUGAAAUAUACCACCAAACUGCUUGACAGCCAAAGAAUAUGUUAGAUCUCUAAACAUUCUCCAUAUUGUAAUAUCAAAUCUGCUCUUGAUCAAAUGUGUUAAAAAUAUGAAUUUGUGGUUGACAGGUUUUUUUUGUUUUUUUUAAGGCAGUUGUUAGCUUUACUUACUGACAGUAAUCUCCAAUUUCCAGUAUUUUCAGGUCUUUUAUUAUAUCUUAAACUAUCAUGUAGAAGCAUUUUUGAGGAAUUAAUUGUAUCUUAUAUUGUUUUGAAUAAUUAAAUUCUGUUUUAAAUCUUAAGUAAAUGUCUUUUUGAUGCUUAUCAUACCAUAAGUUUUUUACAGCUGUAAAACAUUUUCCGUAAAAUUUACGAACAAAUGGCUGGCAGCUAGGUUGCCAAUCUUUGGACGUAAUUUUUACGACAUGUUCGUAAAAAUAUAUUUACGGUGUGUCGUAAUUUUUACGUACAUUGGUUGGCAACCUAGCUGCCAGCCAUUUGUCCGUAAAUUUUACGGAAAAAGUUUU